rnacentral:rRNA from 1 species
UAGAGUUUGAUCCUGGCUCAGAUUGAACGCUGGCGGCAUGCCUUACACAUGCAAGUCGAACGGUAACGCGGGGCAACCUGGCGACGAGUGGCGAACGGGUGAGUAAUGUAUCGGAACGUGCCCAGUUGUGGGGGAUAACUGCUCGAAAGAGCAGCUAAUACCGCAUACGACCUGAGGGUGAAAGCGGGGGAUCGCAAGACCUCGCGCAAUUGGAGCGGCCGAUAUCAGAUUAGGUAGUUGGUGGGGUAAAGGCUCACCAAGCCAACGAUCUGUAGCUGGUCUGAGAGGACGACCAGCCACACUGGGACUGAGACACGGCCCAGACUCCUACGGGAGGCAGCAGUGGGGAAUUUUGGACAAUGGACGCAAGUCUGAUCCAGCCAUGCCGCGUGCGGGAAGAAGGCCUUCGGGUUGUAAACCGCUUUUGUACGGAACGAAAAGACUCUGGUUAAUACCUAGGGUCCAUGACGGUACCGUAAGAAUAAGCACCGGCUAACUACGUGCCAGCAGCCGCGGUAAUA